GAUGAACGCUGGCGGCGUGCCUAAUACAUGCAAGUCGAGCGAACGGACGAGAAGCUUGCUUCUCUGAUGUUAGCGGCGGACGGGUGAGUAACACGUGGAUAACCUACCUAUAAGACUGGGAUAACUUCGGGAAACCGGAGCUAAUACCGGAUAAUAUUUUGAACCGCAUGGUUCAAAAGUGAAAGACAGUCUUGCUGUCACUUAUAGAUGGAUCCGCGCUGCAUUAGCUAGUUGGUAAGGUAACGGCUUACCAAGGCAACGAUGCAUAGCCGACCUGAGAGGGUGAUCGGCAACACUGGAACUGAGACACGGUCCAGACUCCUACGGGAGGCAGCAGUAGGGAAUCUUCCGCAAUGGGCGAAAGCCUGACGGAGCAACGCCGCGUGAGUGAUGAAGGUCUUCGGAUCGUAAAACUCUGUUAUUAGGGAAGAACAUAUGUGUAAGUAACUGUGCACAUCUUGACGGUACCUAAUCAGAAAGCCACGGCUAACUACGUG
rnacentral:rRNA from 1 species